GCGACAAGGGCAAAACUCAAAAAAAAAAAGAAAAAAGAUGAGACGAGAAAGCUAGGAAGGCCUAAGCACAAACCUCAGCAGGGGGAAUCGCUAUAGAGGAUAAGCCUCCUUGUUCUUAAAGGCUAUUUUUAUUUCAGUUGGCUGUUUGGAGCUGUGUAAAAAAAAUGGAAAACAACAAUAACAACAACAAACAAACAAAAAAACCCUCCAAAGGGCUAUUUCUAAUUCAAAUCCCCGAGGUGUCUAUCUUUCCCCUUCCUUUGGGGGAGGGAGGAGGUGAGACAAGUAAUAACUUAGAGGAACGUUUCCUUCCAUCUUUGCAGGUCUCCUGAUAGCAGGAACCUUGCUGCAUCUCCUACACUUCUCAAGAGCAGAAAUGAGCUCACUGCCCCACACCCAGGAUUCUCAUACCACACUUGAGGACUCUCUGGUUUGGACAGACUAUGAUUAAAUUUAUCACAACUGUUAGUUCUCAUGGUCUGGGAGGCCAUCUCCUCUCCUCAGACCCUGUUACUCCUAGAUCUGUCCUCUCAUUAACUCUGUCAGCACAGGCUGCUCUCUCUUCCAGGACUCCAAGAGCUCCUCAUCACCCUCAUCUGCUGUAACACGGAAAGAACCCACUUACCUGCUUCAAUACUAGGUUUUGCCCCCCAUCCCAUUUUCAAAAAGUCAGGCACAAAGUAAAACCCUAUAUUUAUUAUCCCUCCUAUUUUGAGGCUCCAGCUCUAGCCCCAGACCUUUUUUGAUAGGAGAAGGUAAUACAGUUUAUUUUCUAACUUGUUUCCCCUAGUUUUCUCCUGUCUCGUCACCCGUGUGAUCCACGUGUAUCAGAAGUGAUAGGUGGCUCAAGAUCAUUUUGGUCAGAUUUUAAAAAUAAAAUAUUUUCUCCUUUUAUGUCUAAAAAUAUUACCUUACAGC
rnacentral:lncRNA from 10 species